CCCUUUUUCCCCUCUCGCCCCUCCCCCUCCGACCUCUUUCCCGCCUGAGGAUCCCAACGGAGGACGAGGUGAGACUCAGCUGAUGCUCUCUGGUUUUUCUCUGGAUGAAAAGACAAGAAUCAAACUCCGAAGCUCCCCAAAAACUUGAAUGACAGGU